GCAGUUGUGUCCGAGUGGAUAAAGAGAUUGACUGGUGAUCAGAAGGUUGCUGGUUGGAUUCCCGGCUUUCCUUG